rnacentral:tRNA from 2 species
GCCGAAGUGGCGGAAUUGGCAGACGCACUUGACUCAAAAUCAAGCGUAGUUACCUACGUGCCGGUUCGAGUCCGGCCUUCGGCACCA